CCCGUCCGCAGAAAAGACACAACGACAUUUUGGAUUUCGAUUUGGGGCAAAAUCAGGAUAAAAUUAGAAUGGUUAAAGAAAACCGGAAGUUCCUUUUGUAUAUUGUUGUGGGAGGGGCACGUUAGUGAGCAGCACACCUUAAACCACCGCGCCAAUUCCCAGGCAGAAGCUGCGUGGGAACUGAGCUGGUGAGUAAACCACACUUGCUGAGACGAAGCUGAUGUCGCCGUGAUUCCUUCACAACCGUCUGACCUCCGCUACAUAAACUGGUGCCGUGACUCGGAUCCAUUGAGUUAGCAGCUGCCGAUCGCCGGGGUUCGACUGUGUGCCCGCGACACCCGAGAUAUCAAGCCUUUGUUUUUAUAUUAAACUGUGGCAAGAGAGAAGAGACAGGAGACCGUUGCUUAGCCCGUGAAAUGGGUGAAACCACUUUAUUAGUCAACAGCAAGAGGGAGAGGUAGAUCUGGUUGCCGCCCAGAUACCAAAAACUCUGACCGGAAGCCAAACAAGCCUUCACAUCAAGAGCACAUCUUCCCUGAGAAUUCUGAUAGCUAAGGAACCACUACACAGCCCCCCCCCCAGAAUUACAGAGGCAGGGAACCCCACAUCUUAGGAGGUCUGAUCACCCACCCUGACCUGCUCACGGUAUCACCCACAGGAGCAGGCACAACUGGGACUAGUGCAGGAACUGAACAGCGUGGGCGACCCCCCCCUACGAGGAAGCUGGCCAAGUGGCACUGGGGCAUCUAAAUCUAAAUGGGCUGGCUUCAAAUGGUCCGGCUUCAGUGUCCUCCAUCACGGGCUAUUCUGAAGAAACGUGAUAGUGGAACAUCUUCAGGGCUGAGGGCUGCGAGACAAAGAGAGUGCCCCUUGGAUUCUACAGCUUUUGGGGUCUGGACUGUUUUUUGAGUCUUGUGCUUCUUCCAGUUGAGAGGGGCUGGACGGCAGCCUGGCUCUACAUACUGAAGCCCGAACCUCUCCCCGGUAUCUCGGCUAGAUGUCUGAAGGACUGGACAUUUGGCCUCUACAGUCACCUUCACAGACGCCUUGUUCAAUUCCACUAUUAACAGGGGGUCGAACACUGACGGUAAAGCCACAACUGGUAACUUCAGGUCAACCAGCCUCUGAAAGUUCCAGCGCACCACUCCGGUCAUGCCUUGUGCCUGGAACAGCUCAGGAGAGACUCGCGACUCGAGACUACCCUCCUCCACCUCAGGAUCACUCAAGCAGCUUCUCAGGAUAUGGAUGCGCUGGAUUCUCCAUAUCUUUAACAUUGAAGGCUUGAAAAGAUGCAGACCGUUAGGAUCUGUGGCCAAGUGGAAGUGGUGCAGGACAUCUUCCAUUCUCUGCAACAGCUCCAAAGGAUGUGGGAUUUUUAUCCUACAGUGCUCCCCGAUGUACUGUUUUGUUGGGUUAGGUGGAAAAAUUCCACAGAAUCCGUAUGCUUCUCUCAACUUCUCCAAGCCACCUUGAUCAACCACAGAGAAAGCUGCAGAGAGAAACUGGCUGAACAUGCUGCAUAACGACAACAAAUUUAUUUUUAUAUAGCGCAUUAUCACAACAUUACAUUGUCUCAAAGCGCUUUACAGCAUCCGCACCCAAAGCCCCCAGUGAGCAAGCCAAAGGCGACAGUGGCAAGGAAAAUGAAUGAGUGGAUGAGGCUCCGAAACACAUUCACGAAGAAAUCGCCUCAUGCAGUGGAACAAAUGAAGUUUAACAACAGCACGUUAGCCACGUUCCCAGAAAUCACCUCUUCCACUAUAUCCUCUGUGGUUUUCCAUGAAACACACUGCAAAUGUUCUUGUGGAGCAGGAUCAAGGACUUAAGGCAGCACAGCAAUCCCUAUGAAGAUAUUACAAGAUUAUUUCAGUGAAAAUGUAAUUUGGAUGAACAGACUUUCUUAGCAAAUCAAAUCCAACUUAACCAAAUCUAGAAACAGAAAAAUGGUGCUAAAUCUACUGAAAGCAAACAAACCAUAAGUAUUAAAACAUAUCACAGCAUUUUAAUGUGUUAAUACUUUCAGUACCCAGAUUUAAGUCAUACCUGUCCACCCACUGGUACUUUGCUUUCUGGACACCAGCAGCACUGUAGCAGCGAGCAAGACUCUCAUAUAAUGGUUCCAGAGAAAACUCUCACUCUGACUGCAACAUCACCCAGGACAAAAUCAUCCAGUUCUCAUUCAUGACUGCAUAUGAUGACAUGGUGCCAGAACUGAAUGUCACUUCCCUGGUCGCCUGCCUUCUGUGGUCACAUCUGAUGACCUGACCAAAUGUGCCCCUGCAGCAGUUGAUUGAGAACUGAUUCUUGACGUCUGCACUCCUGGAUAAGGCUGUCCACCUGGUAAUGUGCACUGACAGAGACACCACACCAGCCAUCCGUGUCUUCAUACUUCCCAAAGGCAGCAGGCAAUUCAGAUUUCUUGGCAAAUCCAGUAAUUGUUCUCUGCCCAUACAGCCCUGCCUCACCAUCCUUGAUGUUCUGAACACUGAGAAGAUACGCAAAGUUGGCUCGUUCGUAUUUAAAGUGCAGCAUUUCUGUAAGCUGGUUGGCCAUAUCAUUUGGUGACUUCCCAGUCCUUCUCAAUUCAGCCAUUACUCCUUUGCAGAUGGCUUUUUUUUGUACACGAUAAAGGCUGGAAAUAUGUUAGUGAAACGUGAAGGAAGCAUUUCUAUUGGCUGUUCAUCCAUACCAACUAUCCAUGACUGACCUUUCUCUAACCACUGUGGGUUGUCAGCAUACCAGCGUUUUCCACACGCUGUAGCGCAGUCGUGAAUCAGAUGAGGCCUACCCACACCUGCAGCAGAAGAAACUGGAGGCUGAGCACAGCUCCGCGUACAUGGCAGAAGAUCACUGCUUCAGUCUCCCCAUUAAGUCGUCAUUCUCAGGUUUCCAAAGGAAAAAUUGAUUAAGCUGGAAGUGCUUUACAGAUGGAAGAUCAAAAGUGUCAGCUCUGGCUGAGGUGGGAAUGUUAAGGUUACGCGUGGGAGGUGAGCCAAGCUACAGCCCCAUUGGUCAUAUUGGUGCUGGAGAGAAUGUUCUGUAUGACUUUGGUUUCAGAAUUCAUUAAGUCACCAAAUUUGUGAGGCAAAUGCUUAGGUUAACCAUUCCAAAUCUGUCAUGUGGCCCAGGUUACAUCUAAUUAUGAAAGGAAUCCAUAAAAAAUAAGCUUUUGCAGCUUUUUCACCCCAAACAAUUUGCUGUGAUGUACGUAACGUUCCGUGUGUCUGUUUUCAAAUGAUGUAAUACUAGGAAUGAUGGAAGCUUUUGGCAUCAGCUUCUUUGAAACUUUGUUUAACUAUAUUCUAACUUUAAAAACUAGAUAUGAACAAACUGAGUGGUUUCAGUGGUCUCCUGUCAGAAAAAAAGAUUUGUUACGUGUGUCACACCACAUUUGUACAUUUUUUUCCCUCCAUUUUCCUGAUAGAUCAGAAUCUUGAAACUUUCAAAAUGUUUUUUUUUUUAGUU